rnacentral:rRNA from 1 species
GUAGGUGGCAAGCGUUGUCCGGAAUUAUUGGGCGUAAAGCGCGCGCAGGCGGCUCUUUAAGUCUGAUGUGAAAGCCCACGGCUCAACCGUGGAGGGUCAUUGGAAACUGGAGAACUUGAGUACAGAAGAGGAAAGCGGAAUUCCACGUGUAGCGGUGGAAUGCGUAGAGAUGUGGAGGGACACCAGUGGCGAAGGCGGCUUUCUGGUCUGUAACUGACGCUGAGGCGCGAAAGCGUGGGGGAGCAAACAGGAUUAGAUACCCUGGUAGUCCACGCCGUAAACGAUGAGUGCUAAGUGUUAGGGGGUUUCCGCCCCUUAGUGCUGCAGCUAACGCAUUAAGCACUCCGCCUGGGAGUACGGCCGCAAGGCUG